rnacentral:rRNA from 1 species
UACAGAGGUCCCGAGCGUUGUUCGGAUUCACUGGGCGUAAAGCGCACGUAGGCGGCUUUCUAAGUCAGGGGUGAAAUCCUGGAGCUCAACUCCAGAACUGCCUUUGAUACUGGAGAGCUUGAGUCCGGAAGAGGUGAGUGGAACUCCGAGUGUAGAGGUGAAAUUCGUAGAUAUUCGGAAGAACACCAGUGGCGAAGGCGGCUCACUGGUCCGGUACUGACGCUGAGGUGCGAAAGCGUGGGGAGCAAACAGG